rnacentral:rRNA from 1 species
CCUACGGGUGGCUGCAGUGAGGAAUAUUGGUCAAUGGGCGCGAGCCUGAACCAGCCAAGUAGCGUGAAGGAUGACUGCCCUACGGGUUGUAAACUUCUUUUAUACAGGGAUAAAGUCAGGCACUUGUGCCUUUUUGCAGGUACUUUAUGAAUAAGGGUCGGCUAAAUCCGUGCCAGCAGCCGCGGUAAUACGGAGGGUCCGAGCGUUAUCCGGAUUUAUUGGGUUUAAAGGGAGCGUAGAGGGGUUGUUAAGUCAGUUGUGAAAGUUUGCGGCUCAACCGUCAAAUUGCAAUUGAUACUGGAAGUCUUGAGUACAGUUGAGGCAGGCGGAAUUCGUGGUGUAGCGGUGAAAUGCUUAGAUACCACGAAGAACCCCGAUUGCGAAGGCAGCUUACUAAGCUGCCACUGACAUUGAUGCUCGAAAGUGCGGGUAUCAAACAGGAUUAGAUACCCUAGUAGUC